AUCCAACUGACGAGUCCCAAAUAGGACGAAACGCGCCUUGUCAAACUGGAU
rfam:Schistosoma mansoni, Puerto Rico, WGS project CABG01000000 data, contig: 0194